CUGGGAAGCGCACGGCCGCAAAUCUGACUCGUCGCCCGAUUCGUUGGCGACUUGGGAUUGCGGAAGUGC
rnacentral:ncRNA from 1 species